AUAUAAAUACUUUGAUAAUGUGAAGACAGUGGAAAGGAAAUACAAAUUCAAAUUCACAGCAGUAGUCAAAUAAGAGACGACCACUGAAGAUGCAUAUGCAGGCUUCAGGCAGGCCUGCAGCUUCCUAGACGCACUUCAUGCUGCUUAGGGGUCUUGACUGGCUACAUCCUGGCCCCAGUUAGCGUGUGCUCUGCUUCCCUGGGCUGUGCUGUCGCUUCUCAAGCUCUAGAGGUCAAAUGCGCUCACAUUAGUACCCAACUAGUUUUACAUUUUUCCUAGAAACUUCUGAAUUUUCAAUUUGGUGUCAACAAUUAAAAAUCAGUUGGAUUUCUUUCUCUUCAGGCAUUUGUUUCUGGUAAGGCCACGAAUAGGCACAUUUUAAGGCUUUUUAAAUGAAAAAGCAAAGAAUUACAGAAAGAGAUUAAAAGUCCACUUUAAUUUUCUUCUAAUCUUCUUGCCUUUCGCUAGUCCUCCUCCUGCUCUUCCCCUCCCCUCUGCAGGUAACAAAUCACUUAUCAAUUUACUUCUCAGUAUCUUGAAUGUCUUAAAUGAACAAACAUAUUCUCUCAAUCACAGUACUUGGAUAACCAAGUGUCCUUUUUAUAGUCACAUUAACCAUAGCUCUGGAUUUAAUUGUACUGAAAAUCCUAUCCCACUGAAUUAAAUAUCACACUUCAAUAUCAACCCUGCACUGAAAGCUCCGAUCGUGAAUUGGUGUAAUUUUAACCUUCUGAGAGAGCUGGUUGGAGUGGAGUCUCUAACCAGCCAGGACAUGCUUUGACUUUCUGAAACCUUCCUUGAAGGGCGUCUGAUUACUUUCAGGGGUUAGAGCUGUCCUUUUGUCCUGACAAAGCUCACUUUUCCAUUCUUGCUGCCAAAACUUUUGACCAUUGUGGGAUUUUCCAAAUCAUUGCUUGGAAUUUAAAUUGAAGGUCUUAGGCAAUUUCAGCUUUACAAUGCCAUGUAACAGAUAGAAUGGAGGUUGAGACGGAAUUCUGCCAGAGAGCAAGUUAGGUCAGAUCUGCACAGCUAUGGGUGAAUAUGGAUAAAACUGAAACCUUUGGGUUUUUCCACUUCACUAUUACUUUCUAAGUCUGCAAAAGAGGCAGAAUCUGUCUUCCUAUUGCUGGGAGAAAAAUUAUUCUAGAAUUUUUUUAACAGCUUCACAGAUCCUCAGAGUUUUUAGGAAAUACAGUGGAUGUUUAAUUAAUUUGUGGGGGCUUCCCAGGUGGCCCAGUGGUAAAGAAUCUGCCUGCUAAUGCAGGAGAUGAAGGUUCAAUCCCUGGGUGGGGAAGAUCCCCUGGAGUAGGAUAUGGCAAACCAUUCCAGUAUUCUUGCCUGGAAAAUUCCAUGGACAGAGGAGCCCGGAGGCCUGCGGUCCAUGGAAUCUCAAAGAGUCAGACAUGACUGGGUGACCGAGCAUGCACGCACUUGAGUUUAAAAAUUGAAUCACAGUAUUUCCUUAAGACAUUGAGUGGAAGUAACUCUAUAGGGUCAAUUGAAACUUCCUUUAUAAUUCUUGCUUCCUCAAUGUCUCACCUCAAAAUAUCUUUCUACAGUUCUUUCCCCCCUGCUCAAAGGCUGAGUUGACUGAUGACUAGGACAAGGUGGGAGUAAGAUUAUAGAGGGUUUAAUUACUUUUCUUCCUGCCCUGUCCCCAUUCCCCAUAGCCCUGAGGAACAUGAAGAGAAUUGCUGGAGUUCAACCUCUGAAAUCUGAAAAGCUACAGAAGGACGAAGGGGCCAGAAUAGAGGAAAUUACAAGUCAGAGAGCCCCCCUAAGGAACAGAGGGCGGGCUGGAGUACGGAAGGGAGGCUCUGGAAAAACCUCACCACAUGCAAGGAGGGCACAGCUUUCUUCAAACUUCCAGACCCAGAGAAUGAAACCUGCCCACCAAAGCAAAAAGGAUUUUCCAGAUCCCUCUUCCUACCCUCCAAUCCUUCCUGCCCCAAACCUGGAAGAGCAGAAGUAAGGGAAGUAGAAAGUAGCAGAAGUAGCAAGUAGAAAGGGAGGGGAAGGGAUAAAGGGGAGAGGCUGGUCAUUUCUCUCCCCUGAGCUGUAUGGCAGAGGAAAAGGACUGAAGGACUGUCUUUGAAUGAUGGUCUUUGAAUGAUAUCUUUGAAUGAAGAUCAAAGUGUUGAUGAUUUCAUGUAACUAAACAUUUUAUUUGUUAAAAAAUGUAAUUUGUAUUUUGUGUCUUAAAAGUCACCACUGGAUACUGUAUUACCUAAGAAUGUUCAGAACAUGAUGAGACUGCUUUUCUUUUUUUUUUCUUUUUUUGGUUAAUCCAAAAGUAGGAUAAAAUAGGAUCCUAGGAAACCUAAUGAAAAUAAGAAUCUGAAUGUUUGCUUUGUGAUAAGCAUCUCACACUCAUCAGGUUUGUUCAGUGAACGAGUUACAUCUCCAGAGUUACAUCAGGGAAUCUGGAGAUGACAAGAAUCCUAGAAAUCUAGCCUUUCCAUGACAUACCAGGAAAAUACUAUAGAAAAUCCAAACCAUUUGGAAUAGUUUACGUUCAGGGAUAAGUAUUUGAUCAGCUGGAGUACACUGGUCAACAAUCAACAGCAGAUAAGGCUAGGAAAGUUAGAAAAAGUAUAUCAUGAGGGUUGAAUCUUCACUAGCUUAUGCGGUAUCUCAAAUGAUGUCAUCUUUCAUCUUUUGUCAGAAACACAGGUAAAUCCUGAUGGAGACACAAAAGGAUCUUGUGGCAUCUUGCUGCUGACUCUCAAAUAUGGUACAACUUCUCAGUGAUAUAGUUUCCUGGAAAUUCAAGGUCACUUGACACACAAGAUAACAGGAAGAAGCUUCACACCUUAAAGCAUCACAAGUCUUCCACUCUGUGAUUGCUAUUCUUCCCCGAAAAGUCUCCAGUUCCAUCACAAAUUAGAGAAAAGGUGACUGUCACCAUGUAAGCGGGUCAAAAAUUAUCUGAAGCGUGUGUCACAUGGGGUGUCACUGAUUUAAACAGGAAGAUAAGGAAUAAAAACUAUACUGGCAUUUAAAUUCAUUUUUAAGUGAAAAUAACACUGCUUUUGAAUUGUAAUGUUGACUAGGCAGUUGGAGGUAUUUUGAGCUUGGAGAAAACAACUGUGUUUGAAAGUAAGAUUUAGGAUUGGUCAACAUAAAUGUAAUUUGAGUUGAAACUACAAGAAAGAUGCUCACUUUGAGGUUAACCACAAGAUGCCAUUGCCAAAGCUGGAGUUGUGAGACAAAACAAAGCUAGAAAACCUCAAAGUUAAGAAAAAGAAAACUUUAUUUUGAUGACCUGAACUCUUAGGAACCCCUCCCAAGAAAUCUUGUGAAAAUUCAUUAAUUAUGAGAACUUGAUCAUUAUUAGCACAAAUAUUGGUCUUUAUAUUAUUUCUUUUUAAGUUAAAAUUAAAUAAAAGUAUUUGAAUAGUGAUGGAAUGGUUUCACAUCCAGGGAAAAUUUGUUAAUUGUUCAUAAACAGUAACUAUACUUAAACAUAUCUAAUUUAGAGGAUAUCAAACAUCUUUGUAAAAUAUUAGAAUGUGAAAACAAGAAUAUAUUUCCAUAACAUUAACUUAUCCCUGAGAUAAAGUAUUUACCCUCAUAGUCUCAACUUUUCUAAAAGUAAUUUUUAUCCAGAAGCAUGGAAAUAAUUUUAAUGAUCUAACUAGAAAAAUCAGAAUCUUUUAUAAUAUCCUUGGCCAGUUACAGUUAAGCUUGUAUUUUUGAGAAUGUAUAAUAAAAACAUCCAAAAGUGGGUAUCCCUCUUUUCCUUCUCUCCCUUCUUCCUUCUCCUUCCAACCUUUCCAUCAACAAAUAGAUGCAUGUCUAUGUUCAAUGUAUUACACUAGGUGUUUUAGCUGAUGACAGAUAGAGUAAUAUAAGACAUAUACAAAGAUAAUUAUAACACAAGGGAGAAUAUUUUCUGGUUCAUUAGAUAUGAAUUAUUGAAUGGUGGUUAUAAAUGUUGAAUGAACAAGUUCUCUGUUCAUUUCUCAUUGAUUAUGUUUUGGUAGUAAUGUAAGACAAAUCAGGAUGGAAUGAUGGUUAAUUUAAAAAAUCGCAAUGCUAUAAUUUUAAAAAGGUACAUAGGUAUAUAAUAAAGCAAAUAAGCUUGCCUGUGCACUUUUAAAUUUCAUAUUGAUUUAGCUUCCUGCAGAAUAUUUGCAGCACUGUAAUUAGUUUUGAACGUUCAGAUAAUGUUAUUGUCAGGCCAUGCAGAUUUAAUUCAUAGCGAGCUCUUAGAGCGCGAAGUGCAUAAAAUCCAAGCUGUUGACUGUUAGUUUCGGUAAGUGCAUUAGGGCAAUUUUUAACAAGUGCUCUUUAUUUAUUUAUUUUGGCUGUCCUGCGUCUUUGUUGCUGCGCAGGCUUUUCUGUAGUUGCAGUGAGCAGGAGCUCCUCUCUAGUUGCUGUAUGCAGGCUUCCCGUGUUGCAGAGCAUGGGCUUAGGGUGUGCGGGCUUCAGUUGUUGUGGCUUGUGGGCUCAGUGGUUGUAGCUGUCAGGCUGUAGAGCACAGACUCAAUAGCUGUGCUGCUCUGCAGGGGAGCCCAACAAGUGUUCUUUAAGUAAUUCAGAUUUUCAGGCUUGAUUAUGAACCCUUCUAGAGCAUUUCUUGGAGAAGGCAAUGGCAGCCCACUCCAGUACUCUUGCCUGGAAAAUCUCAUGGACAGAGGAGCCUGGUAGGCUGCAGUCCAUGGGGUUGCGAAGAGUCAGACACAACUGAGUGACUUCACUUUCACUUUUCACUUUCAUGCAUUGGAGAAGGAAAUGGCAACCUGCUCCAGUGUUCUUGCCUGGAGAAUCCCAGGGAUGGCAGAGCCUGGUGGGCUGCUGUCUAUGGGGUUGCACAGAGUUGGACAUGACUGAAGAGACUGAGCACCAGCAGCAGCAGAGCAUUUCUAGGCCAACUAAAAUUUAAACAGGGAGAUUUGUAGGCCAAGCA
ensembl:lncRNA